GAUGAACGCUGGCGGCGUGCCUAAUACAUGCAAGUCGAGCGAACGGACGAGAAGCUUGCUUCUCUGAUGUUAGCGGCGGACGGGUGAGUAACACGUGGAUAACCUACCUAUAAGACUUGGAUAACUUCGGGAAACCGGAGCUAAUACCGGAUGAUAUUUUGAACCGCAUGGUUCAAAAGUGAAAGACGGUCUUGCUGUCACUUAUAGAUGGAUCCGCGCUGCAUUAGCUAGUUGGUAAGGUAACGGCUUACCAAGGCAACGAUGCAUAGCCGACCUGAGAGGGUGAUCGGCCACACUGGAACUGAGACACGGUCCAGACUCCUAAGGGAGGCAGCAGUAGGGAAUCUUCCGCAAUGGGCGAAAGCCUGACGGAGCAACGCCGCGUGAGUGAUGAAGGUCUUCGGAUCGUAAAACUCUGUUAUUAGGGAAGAACAUAUGUGUAAGUAACUGUGCACAUCUUGACGGUACCUAAUCAGAAAGCCACGGCUAACUACGUG
rnacentral:rRNA from 1 species